UACGUAGGCAGCGAGCGUUGUUCGGAUUUACUGGGCGUAAAGGGCGCGUAGGCGGCGUGGUAAGUCACUUGUGAAAUCUCUGAGCUUAACUCAGAACGGCCAAGUGAUACUGCUGUGCUAGAGUGCAGAAGGGGCAAUCGGAAUUCUUGGUGUAGCGGUGAAAUGCGUAGAUAUCAAGAGGAACACCGGUGGCGAAGGCGGCGACCUGGUCUGAUACUGACGCUGAGGCGCGACAGCGUGGGGAGCAAACAGG
rnacentral:rRNA from 1 species